rfam:Oryza glumipatula chromosome 1, whole genome shotgun sequence.
GAUUGGUGACUAGUACUUCUUCCGUGUCCAACUUUAAUUGUCCGUCUUGUUUUAUUUUUUUAUGAUUAGUAUUUAUGUUAUUAGAUGAUAAUUGAUAAAGCAUGAAUAAUAUUUUAUGCAUGUCUUAUAUUUUUCUAAUUUUUUUCCAAAAAAAAAUAAUACGAACGAUCAAAGUUGGGCAUAGAAACUUAUAACCUCGCUUACA